UUUCAAAGUAUGUCAUUACCAUCCCUAAACUCAGUUUGAGUCUCUAAUUCUCCCAUAACGGGUCCAGCUGAUCUUAUUUUUAUACAAAUAACCCCCCUGCUCUUUUGUUCUUUAAUAGAAAACACCAUCAAGAAUCGAUCUGUUACGAGAUCGAUCAGAGAUCGAUCGCUUGGCUCGCCGCUGCCGCCGCUUCGUCUCCCGGCCGCGACUCCUCCGCGCGUGAGAAACAAGCGCGCCUGGCGAUCUGUGUCUGGCGAGAAGCGAGCGUCAAAAGGGAGCGCAUCUGGCGGUGAACAUGGCGGCGCGAUUGCGCGGCAAAGGGCAUCCUGCGCCGGUCUAUAGAGGCCAUGAACCAAGGAUAGCUCGUGCGUGAUGGCUGGGAUUGCGAACGUGGGGCGCACUUGCGGCCGUGGUGAUGGACACGCGACUAAGCCGCAAGGAGCAGCAGCACGAUCCUGAUGUUUCCGUGGUGAGCAAGCAGCAAACUUUUGGCUUUCUUUGUUCGUGUCCAGGCAGCUCGGCGUGUCCCACCGGCGGCAGCAGCAAGCUGCUUGCUUUCCCUGUGUUUGUGUUUUUCUCUUGCAGCUAGCCGGCGACUCCAAGGCGAGCAGCUCGUCCUCGGCGGCGGUUGGCAGCAGUGCUGCUCGGUGCACACAAACAGGGCAGAGGAAGCGAUGGCGUCGGCGAGCGGGUAUCGAUCUCUCGGAACAGAUCGAUUUUUUAUGGUGCUUCCUAUUAAGAAACAAAAGAGCGGGGAGUUAUUUGUAUAAAGUUAAGGUCAGCUGGACCCAUUAUAGGGGAAUUAGAGACUCAAACUAAGUUUAGAAAUGGUAAUAACAUACUUUGAAAGUUCGUGGAUCGGGAUGACACAGUAGGAAAAAUUUAAGGACUGGUGGUGCACUUUACUCGGAAAAAUACCUUGCCGUGGAGUGGGUUUUUAAUUACACUGAAAAUAUUAAGCAAAUUACUGCAAAAAAGGGGACUGCCUCAAUGAAUGUCUAGGUCUUAGUUCAAAUUUAACGUAAUAUUUCAGAUUUGAUCUGAAACCAUAUUUAAUCUAAAAUUCACUGCCAUGUCAUGCCAGCGGGUGUAAGCCAGGCCCGACUAGUGACGUUACUAGCGGCUGUUCAGUGCAUCAUACCGAGUGCUAUUAGAGUAUUUCAAAGUAUACCAGUUCAUAUUUAAUGUACAUUACAUUAUAUUACGAAAAAACUAACAUAGUUUUAUUACUUCCGUUGCACAUUCAAUUUCAUCUAUGUUCACACAGCCAAACGAACACGUAUACCAUCAACCAAACAACCCUUCCGCAUCCAUUCAGCCUAUGCGAAAAACAGAGAGCCAUGCGAAAAACCAGUUACACCCAUAGUCCACAACAAACCAGCUCAAACAGAACUCCUGGAACGAACGCACGGAAUAACUCAGCAGAUAAUAUGUACAUGCUUUUGCUAUGUCUAAGGCAAGGAACAGAACACAUACAGAAUCCCUCUUUCAAAGUACCACACCAUUUGCCAAGAAGAUGGUUCUAUGAAUUGUAUAAACUGCUUCGUUGUUUAUGCACUCUGUAAGUCCCUCCCGAUGGCCUGGAGAGGUGGUACCAUUUCUGAAGAAUUUACCAGUUGUGCCUUUACUUGCUCAGAAAGGCCUUCAAAGAAAAUGGCGGG